rnacentral:lncRNA from 12 species
CCUAGUCAAAGGCCAGUGCUGUUCCCCCCAGGGGCUGGCCUGACACUCAUAUAUGCGAAUGAUAGGCACCCAGUAGGAGCUCAUUAAGUGCUGGAUUGAUUGCAGAGAAGCAGAGACUUUGUGAACAUCUGGAGAUGUCCAGUGGCUUUCAGCAAUGUUGAGAGGAACCCCUUCCCCUGCUCUCUGCCCCCACCCCCAUGCGGGCCUCAGCUCCUGGUUGAGUGUGGGGGUGACAGGGUAAGGAGUUCCACUUCCAGUUCUGCCCACUUCCUCUUUAACUGGAAUGCCGGGCCAGGUGACUGGGAAGUCAGCUUCUGGGGAGUGGAAGAGGAAACCCCAUCAUCGUGUCAUCCACGAUCGGCCCCAGGUGUUGAGCUAGUUGGCCCCUUCUUGGAGCCAUGCAGCUCAAGUAAACCUCCGUUCCUCUAGAACUGGCUCCUGGCAGGAGGAGAAGUCUGCAUAUUCCCGUGGGUGGAGGGGUCCGACCCUGUGCAUCCUGUCCCGUGCAGUCUGGGAGCUUCUCUCCGUGCGUUUGUCAGCUAUCCCAGUGUAGGGCAGGGACCCUCU